UGUUCAUCAGCCCAACUUUGUUUCUUAGUUUACAGAUGACUUCAUGAGAAAGGUGGUAGUGCCAGACUGGCCCAAAAUCAUUGUGGUGGCUGAUGGCUCCCAUGGGGAGACCUGCUCUGUUCUGGGGCUCAGUCCAGAUUAUGUAGUGGAAUCCUGCAAUGCUUAUGGAGCUAACGCCACCAUCACGAGACUGGACCAGAGACAGGUGCCCACACCAGAAAUCCGAGCCCACAACCUCUACCUCGAUCUCUCUGCUUAUGGGAUCGAGUUCACUUCUGCAAAAAAGGAAUCCCCAAUCUCGCAUCAGGCAGUCAAACAGCCAGGUUUCCACCUGAAAAUCUACGGAACCUUCCGCCACCGAUAUAUCGCUUUGGCAUGUCCAGCUUCUGAUUCCAAAGUUGUUAGAUUUCUCCGUCAUACUGUCAGCUCCUCAGUCAUGAAGACCAUCUUCCACCAAGCGUUCAACGCCUACAAGAUGGACAUCGAGCCCCGCGUGAGGGACGCCGCCAUGUCCCGGGUGCAGUGCAGCAGAAGGCUGUUUGAGAUCACGCUGUCCCACCGGCGGGCCACAGCUGCCUACAUCCAGGGCAUAGGCAGGGUAGUCACUGUGGAGGGAGAGGCAGCUCGAGUGCUCAACUUUGACACGGGAUCUGGGGUGAAUCUUGGGCUCCAGGGCCUGGAGUCUUUGGAAGAAUUCAUUGGCAAGAUCGCGACAGCUGUGGAUCAGAGCGACAUCUUGGAAGCUUUGGCUGCCAAAAUAAGACACUCUAAACAGGUGGUGGAAGACUUUAAACAGAAUGGACUCCUCACGACAAUUUUCAAGUGACUGGGGGCAACACGACUGCCCCCGCCCCCCAGAGGGUGACUCUCCUCCCUGCAGGGCAGAAAGGAGCUAGGAAUGAGGUUAGGCUGAAAUAGAAUUUCGUGAGUGUUGGCAAGUUAGCAAUUAUACACGAAAGCUACAUCGAAGCUUGGGGUCUUUAUAUAUAAAUUAAACAAGUGAAGUUUCCAAACUCAACGGUCUAAUUUCCAGAAGUCGCUGCAAUAGAUGUGAUGUGCUCAGCAGGGGAGAGUGCCUACCUGUGGCCCAGGAGAAAAUGUGUAUUAUUACUUCUGAGAAUUUUCAGAAUAAAACAGAAUCACUCUCUCCUUCUGAUGCUUCA
rnacentral:lncRNA from 1 species